ACCGCUCCGUCUUCUGUCCGCUGUCCUCUGUACACUCGCCAGUCUUCCAUCUUUUUCACUCAUUUCUUUCUCCAUAACGUUUCCAUCUUUGAUUUUUUACCUCUCAAAAUCCUAACCCUAACUCAAAUUCAUCACCAUUUUGCGAUUUCUCGUUGCCCUUGCAAAUCUUGACGAAGUGAAAUGGAGUUGCAGACAAAUUUCAAUCUCUUCGGGAAACGUCCUAUUUUGAAGUGUAAGACUCCUGCAAUCAGAUGGUACAAGGAAUGGGUGCCUCAGGAUGUCGUUUCUACUGGUGGGAAGUGCUUCCUUUUGAAAUGGGUUUCUGACGACACAUUGAAGGCCUUGAAAGAGAAGUCUAAAGAGCCUGAGGCUGAAGAACCAGAACCAGAACCAGAACCAGAGCCUACUACAGAAGUUCUUUUCCUUUGCAGCUAUGAAGGCUGUGGAAAAACUUUUAUUGAUGCUGGAGCAUUGAAGAAACAUUCUCACAUUCAUGGGGAAAGACAAUAUGUUUGUCACUAUGAAGGAUGUGGAAGGAAAUUUCUGGAUAGUUCCAAGCUGAAAAGACACUUUCUUAUUCAUACAGGAGAGAAGCAUUUUGUGUGUCCUCAUGAUGGCUGUGGCAAAGCUUUCUCCCUGGAUUUCAACUUACGGGCACAUAUGCGAACGCAUUCACAAGAGAACUAUCAUGUCUGCCCAUAUGUAGAUUGUGGAAAGAGAUAUGCUCAUGAAUACAAGUUAAGAACUCAUAUCAAGGCUCACCAUGAAAAGAACAUGGCGAUGGAUAUGAUGAAAAACAACCCACCUUCAGAUAAGCUACCCAAUGCUACAAAGCCUUCUGCGGUGAAUUAUGGGUCUGCUUCCACUGACCGGCCUUAUGCCUGUCCUUAUGAAGGAUGCGAUAAGUGCUACAUUCAUGAGUAUAAGCUGAACCUUCAUUUGAAAAGGGAGCAUCCUGGUCAUUAUGCAGAAGAGAAUGGCAAGAAUGACCUUGAUAAUGAUCAUGAGGUGGAUGAAGCCAGUGACCAAGAUGCUUAUGGUGGAAAUGGGAAAAAUUCUAAGCGAAGAAAGCCCAACAGACCCGUGUUGAAGAUGCCACCUUUGAAAAUCCAACUACAAAAACCCUCGAAUGUGGCUGCCCCAAAUUUGAACAUGGUGAAGAAACAGUGGCCGACCAAAGAAAUGUAUGAGGAAGAUGAUAGUGAGGAAACAGAAGAGGAUCGUGAUAAUGUUGAAGAUGGAUGGAGAUACACAGAGAAUAAUGAGGAUGACGAAGAGACAGAGUAUGAGGAUUAAGCAAGGACCCAGUGAUGCAGGAAAUUUUAACAAUUCUGUGAUCGUCCUUUCAGGUUGUACAAGAUGGAAACUGCCAGUUUUAUUCAGCUACAUGGUCUGUGCUGGAUUCUCGUAACUCUCAAUAUGAACAUUUCAUAGAGUGAAGUUUCAACCCAAGUUGAAUAGAUUUUCUACGGUUCUGGAUAGCAAAGAUCUUAUCCUCCUUUGGAUAAUCUGGAAAGUCAGAAAUCAAGCGGUUUUUCAUCACUUGUUCAGACCUCAGUAGCACUCUGCGGAAUUCAAACUCUUUGGUUGCUGAAUGUUGAUAAUUAGCCAUGUGUUAGUUGAGGUCCAUGUGUGUUCCUGUACUGCGUUUCUGCCAUUCCACCAGUUUUGGACCGGAUUUCAUUUUUCAAUCUUGGGAUGGCGCGUGGACUGAAAAACACUUGUGUGGACUGUGGAGGGCUUUGUUUGGUUUUGGUGAUUUUGCGGGCCUUUUUAAUGUUGCCAAGUGCAGAUUUAGCACCAGUUUCUCUACUUCAGUUAUGGAAGUUGAGGUUUUACGUGACGGCCUCCUUGCCAGAAGUUUUCUGAUAAACAAGCUGAUUGUGAGCUCGGACCGUCAAUCGGUGAUUGCUGCUCUUAAUCAUUCAUCUGCUUCUAUUGAUUGGGUGACUCGACUUUUGGUUGAUGAUAUUUUUCUCUUAGCAGAUAAAGUUUGUUUCUGUUUCUUACCGUUAUGUUCCUCAUUGUUGUAUCUUUGAGGCUCAUGGGCUGGCUGCUAGAGCUUCAUCUUUGUUUUAGUCACAGUUUUGGCGGAUUGUCCCCCAUUCUUUUUCUUUCAUCCUUUGUAUCUCUCUCCUGAUGGGAAUUUUCCGAUCAUGGCUUCAGUUAAUAAAUAGCAUGUCAGUUUUUUGAUAAA